rnacentral:rRNA from 1 species
AUGCAAGUCGAGCGGUAACAGGUGUAGCAAUACAUGCUGACGAGCGGCGAACGGGUGAGUAAUGUUUCGGAAUCUGCCCAAUGGUGGGGAAUAACCAGCCGAAAGGUUGGCUAAUACCGCAUAAGCCCUACGGGGGAAAGCGGGGGAUCGCAAGACCUCGCGCCGAUGGAUGAGCCGAAACCGGAUUAGCUAGUUGGUAGGGUAACGGCCUACCAAGGCGACGAUCCGUAGCUGGUCUGAGAGGACGACCAGCCACACUGGGACUGAGACACGGCCCAGACUCCUACGGGAGGCAGCAGUGGGGAAUAUUGGACAAUGGGGGAAACCCUGAUCCAGCGACGCCGCGUGUGUGAAGAAGGCCUGCGGGUUGUAAAGCACUUUUAGUGGGGAUGAAAAGCUCAGGGCUAAUACCGCUGAGUCUUGACCUAACCCAAAGAAAAAGCACCGGCUAACUCUGUGCCAGCAGCCGCGGUAAUACAGAGGGUGCAAGCGUNAAUCGGAAUUACUGGGCGUAAAGCGUGCGUA